rnacentral:rRNA from 1 species
UACGGAGGGGGCCAGCGUUGUUCGGAAUUAUUGGGCGUAAAGGGCGCGUAGGCGGCGAGGUAAGUCAGACGUGAAAUCCCCCGGCUCAACCGGGGAAUUGCGUCUGAAACUGCCUUGCUCGAGGCCGGGAGAGGAGAGUGGAAUUCCCAGUGUAGCGGUGAAAUGCGUAGAUAUUGGGAGGAACACCGGUGGCGAAGGCGGCUCUCUGGACCGGUUCUGACGCUGAGGCGCGAAAGCUAGGGGAGCAAACAGG